UUUCUUUAUUUUUCCUUUGCAGGAAGAGUCGACCAAAGAUGAGAAAAAUGCUAUUGAAAAAUCGCCACAAUAAUAGGGAUUUUCCGGUGUAGAAUGAUUGCUCUCACAGAUGCUUUGGAUUAAUGGCAGGGGCAUCAAGAAUGCCAAUUAUGUGCUUCCAGUUUAGUUUUUUGGUUGUCGAUUAACUGAUUUAUUGGUGGAGACCGCG